rnacentral:sRNA from 1 species
UUCCUUUCUCCACAGAUCCUUUAGCUGCUUUAGUUGAGCUGCUCCUCUAGCAGCAGCUCCAGCCCAGGCAGCUCCUUGGGGCCAAGGCCUUUUCCAAGGGUCAGAAGCUGUGGGCAGGGCCAGGCUGAGGCCUCUCCUGAUCCUGUCCCCCUGUCCCUGGACCUCACUCCCACAGGCCAUGAAAUUAUUCACUGCGAUCCGGGAUGCCCUCAUCACUCGCCUCAGAAACCUUCCCUGGAUGAAUGAGGAGACCCAGAACAUGGCCCAGGACAAGGUUGCUCAACUGCAGGUGGAGAUGGGGGCUUCAGAAUGGGCCCUGAAGCCAGAGCUGGCCCGACAAGAAUACAACGAUAUACAGCUUGGACCGAGCUUCCUGCAUUCUGUCCUGAGCUGUGUCCGGUCCCUCCGAGCUAGAAUUGUCCAGAGCUUCUUGCAGCCUCGCCCCCAACACAGGUGGAAGGUGUCCCCUUGGGACGUCAAUGCUUACUAUUCGGUAUCUGA